ensembl:lncRNA
AGAAAAGUCUCCCAUCUCUGGGGGGAGUCUCUGCGUUAAUUUUCUAUCAAAUUCGUCCUGGUAUUCUGUGUAAGCAUUACUCCAAAUUAAUAAUGCAAAAUAACUACAAAGUCGCAGAAACCCCAAGGAGAACACUGCAUUUUUUUUUUUAGCUGGAAUGAGCUUAAUUGAUAUUGUUUGAUGCAUCCAUUUGUCCCUGAAUUCUGCUGAACUAUUUCUGGCACAGAUAUAAUCUUUGACCUGGAAGCCCUGUGCUCUGAGCACAGCCUGUGAAGCAACAGGGCCCUGGGGACAACCACACGUGUGUUCGAAGUCCAGCGCUGCAGGGAGUGAAAAGAGCAGCCAGUCACUGAAGAAAGAGUGAAUAACUCUCUCUGCCCGCCUGCUUUAGUGAGGACACGUUUACCAGGUGCCUCAUGAGGGACUCGAGGAAAAUACCAGAGACACCCAACUCAUUUCAUUUUGAAAACUGUGAAGGGAGAUGGUAGCUGUAGGUACCAGGAAUGUGCUGUCAUUGAAAUACAGUCCCAGUGUUUCUCAGCCUGCUCAUCCUGUGCAGUCUGUGAGAACCAGGGCACAGGGGCAAUGUAAAGUUGGAGCUGGAGAUGCCAGGGCCUGCAGCUGCCUUAGCUCAGGGUCAGCCCACAGCACACGGCUGCCUCAGGGCCCCUGGGGGCCCAGGAAGCCCCAGGUGCAAAUGUGUCUGCGUUGCACAGCUCAGACUCUGGACACACAGAGAAGCCUGUGGUCCCACAGCUCUGCAGGUGAACUAUUGGAAAUACUGAGUUUGGACUGCGGUUUAUCCAAGGUUCAUCAAGCCAGGUACGUUUUUACAAAGCAGAUUGAUUUUUACAGAUAAACCACUUCUGGACUAAAAAAGAAAAACAAGAUAAACUGUUGGAGAGCUCUCAGCUGGGUCCUUGCAUGUGGUCUUAUGUGCUGAAAAGAGAGGAGGCCAAAAGAGUUCAGAUCAACAACACAGGGAAUUUGUUUACUAUUCUGUGGACUAACAUCAAGAUGUUUCAACCAAUCU